CAGCUUGAAAUUUCAGAAGAAAGAGAAGAGGAAGAAGGUGGCAGAGCCCUGUGAGAGGGCACUGGAGAACACGUUCUUGUUUUGCAGUUUGGUCACUGUGUAAACGUGAAUUGAGUAGAGCUUCAUGGGGUUGCACAGGAGCCUGCACUUCUCCUGGGAGCAUGGGAAAGGCAAGAGGGGCCAAUGACCAAGAGAUGACCACUUCCAUAGGGGAAACACUCUCUGGGUACAAGAUAAAAGUCUGUGGAAGGAAAGAUGGCUCCAGUAAGAAGGUGUAAGCAAGAAUUCAAUAAAUGUGUGCUGAACAAAUAAUCCAGGUUUUUCAGUUCUCCAAUCAAAUUCAACAGAAAGUCAUUGACUACCUGCAGAUUGUAAGAUGGCUUUUGGGGUUGUGGAAAAUUCUGCCUCCUCUUUCUGCCAUACUGGAACUGGCAAGAUUUCUCAAAUCAGCAGGCUGCAGCUGGUGCUUAGAGGCUUAUUCACUGCACAAAAGCCAUGGUCACGGGUACCUCCAGGCUCAUAUCCUCAUUUCCAGAGAAGAAGGGGGCUCUUCUCUCUCAGCCCCAAAUGGAAUCCCUGGAGAAAGACUCGGGAGAGUCCAGCGUGGCCCCAAGUUUACCUUCAACCAGCUGUGGUGGUCAGAGCUUAGCGAGGGCUUGAUCCCUCUGAACUGGAUCACAUGA
rnacentral:lncRNA from 1 species